rnacentral:rRNA from 1 species
AGAGUUUGAUCCUGGCUCAGAACGAACGCUGGCGGCGUGCCUAACACAUGCAAGUCGAACGUGAUUGGAAGCUUGCUUCCAUGAAAGUGGCGCACGGGUGAGUAACGCGUAGAUAAUCUACCUGAUGAUCCGGGAUAACACUUCGAAAGGGGUGCUAAUACCUGAUAAGCCCACGGGGUCUUCGGACUCUGCGGGAAAAGGGGGGGACCUUUGGGCCUUCCGUCAUCAGAUGAGUCUGCGUACCAUUAGCUAGUUGGUAGGGUAAAGGCCUACCAAGGCGACGAUGGUUAGCUGGUCUGAGAGGAUGAUCAGCCACACUGGAACUGAGACACGGUCCAGACUCCUACGGGAGGCAGCAGUGGGGAAUUUUGCGCAAUGGGGGAAACCCUGACGCAGCAACGCCGCGUGAGUGAUGAAGGCCCUUGGGUCGUAAAGCUCUGACAGAGGGAAAGAAGUGUAGAGUGGCUAAUAUCCACAUUACUUGACGGUACCCUCAAAGGAAGCACCGGCUAACUCCGUGCCAGCAGCCGCGGUAAUACGGGGGGUGCAAGCGUUGUUCGGAUUUAUUGGGCGUAAAGCGCGUGUAGGCGGUUUUAUAAGUCUGAUGUGAAAGCCCUGGGCUCAACCCGGGAAGUGCAUUGGAUACUGUAAGACUUGAAUACGGGAGAGGGCAGUGGAAUUCCUAGUGUAGGAGUGAAAUCCGUAGAUAUUAGGAGGAACACCGGUGGCGAAGGCGGCUGCCUGGACCGAUAUUGACGCUGAGACGCGAAAGCGUGGGUAGCAAACAGGAUUAGAUACCCUGGUAGUCC